GACGAACGCUGGCGGCGUGCUUAACACAUGCAGGUCGAACGGAAAGGCCCUGCUUUUGUGGGGUGCUCGAGUGGCGAACGGGUGAGUAACACGUGAGUAACCUGCCCUUGACUUUGGGAUAACUUCAGGAAACUGGGGCUAAUACCGGAUAGGAGCUCCUGCUGCAUGGUGGGGGUUGGAAAGUUUCGGCGGUUGGGGAUGGACUCGCGGCCUAUCAGCUUGUUGGUGGGGUAGUGGCUUACCAAGGCUUUGACGGGUAGCCGGCCUGAGAGGGUGACCGGCCACAUUGGGACUGAGAUACGGCCCAGACUCCUACGGGAGGCAGCAGUGGGGAAUAUUGCACAAUGGGCGGAAGCCUGAUGCAGCAACGCCGCGUGCGGGAUGACGGCCUUCGGGUUGUAAACCGCUUUCGCCUGUGACGAAGCGUGAGUGACGGUAAUGGGUAAAGAAGCACCGGCUAACUACGUG
rnacentral:rRNA from 1 species